rnacentral:rRNA from 1 species
ACGAAGGUCCCAAGCGUUAUCCGGAUUUAUUGGGUUUAAAGGGUGCGUAGGUGGGUUGGUAAGUCAGUGGUGAAAUCCCCGAGCUUAACUUGGGAACUGCCAUUGAUACUAUCAGUCUUGAAUACCGUGGAGGUUAGCGGAAUAUGUCAUGUAGCGGUGAAAUGCUUAGAUAUGACAUAGAACACCAAUUGCGAAGGCAGCUGGCUACACGAAUAUUGACACUGAGGCACGAAAGCGUGGGGAUCAAACAGGA